CAGCGAUUCGCCUUUGCGAGUGAGUCCUCUCUGCGAUUGUCGUGUGUGUUUGUGCCUGUGUCUGUGCCAGUGCCAGUGCCAAGUGCCCCAUUGCCCAAGUGUCUGUGCCUGUGUCUGUGGUAGUGCAAGUGGCCGUGUGUUUGUGGAAGCCAGGAUUGCAGUGCUCCAGCUCCCGAGGAGCGAAAUCGCGGAGCCAGGCCAAAAGUGAUAGGCUGAAGCAGGGCUGCUGAUGCUCUGAUGCCCAGAUCCUGUGAUCCUGUGAUCCUGCGAGCCCGCGUCUGGUCAGUGCUGCAAAAGUGUUCAAGUGGUGCUGUUAAUAAUUAAUUAAGCCAAAAUUCGCGUAAUGAUCGCCGUCGUAUAGUGUGAAAGUUGGUCCCGAUCUCCCAGUGAGCAUUACGUCAGUCGGCCAAAAGAGAUGAGAAUCUUCUAGCCAGGUUACAAGCGAGCCAAUAAGCAGCGACCAGCAGAUGAAACUAAGCCAAACGUCUUCAAACUGAGCCCAGAAGCCAGAAGGAUUCGCGGCCCAUAGCUCAGCUCCAUCUGGGAGCCCACUGCAG